rnacentral:rRNA from 1 species
GACGAAGGGGGCUAGCGUUGUUCGGAAUUACUGGGCGUAAAGCGCGUGUAGGCGGUUGCCCAAGUCGGGUGUGAAAGCCUUGAGCUCAACUCAAGAAAUGCACUCGGUACUGGGUGACUAGAGGACCGGAGAGGAUAGUGGAAUUCCCAGUGUAGUGGUGAAAUACGUAGAUAUCUGGAGGAACACCGGUGGCGAAAGCGCUCAUCUGGCCCAAUACUGACGCUGAGGCGCGAAAGCUAGGGGAGCAAACGGG